rnacentral:lncRNA from 10 species
GCAGGAGCAGUUUAAACUGCGGGUUGCAGCUCCAUUACGUGCUCUGCAAGUGAAAGAUGCUGAGGUGGACACUAACGUCGGGAGGGAAGCCUAAACAUUGACGUCAUCUGUGCAAAAAGUCAGGAGCAUCCACAGGUCCACUCUGUCCCGGACACGUUCUCAAAGUCAGGAGCAUCCACAGAUCCACUCUGUCCCGGACACGCUCUCACGCUCUCUCCGGUUUGACUUUGCAAUAACACAGCCCACGAGGGUCACCGUGACCUUGAAACAGUCCUGGCUACUUUAAAAUUAGCUGCCCCUAGGAGCAUGGAAGAUGAUUCAUCCCGUGACAAAUCUUGCCUUAUGUCUCUUUUAAACACACACAUCUGGGUAUCAGGCAGCCUCACGGGGGCAGCUUGGUUGUGCUGGAACUCAGCCUCAUUGACUCCGGUUUCAUGUGCACAGAAACUGACUUUGAAACUUGCAGGAAGAGGCUGUCCUGGAAGAAGCUGCAGCCUGCAGAGACGGCCCUGGGCUUCCUGCAUCGCUCCCUUCCUGCCACGGGGCUGUGCCAGGAGCUUCCAUGCAGCUCUCACACACAAGGCAGGUCCCCAGCUGGCUCUCUGCAGAGCCUGACCUGAGGCACCCAUUCGAUGAGAGCAGGUUCUCUCAGUGUAGAACCCAGACCAGCAGAAGCCGCAUCACAGGGACGCUUCAGAGACGCACUGCUCAGCCCAGAACUGCCAGGCCUGGCAGCCGGGGUGCGGGGACCCUGGGACCCUGAUGUUGUGUGAGUUCAGGAAAAACAGCGUUGCCUUCCUGAAUGCUGUUCCAUUUACUUCUAGCUCCUACGUGUUUCUUCAAGUAAAACACAGUCGAGCCUCAUUAUUCAUGGGCAAAUUUGCCUACUUACUAGCAUUUACCCUAACCCAGAUUCAAUACUCAGGGCACCUCCACGGUCAUUGGUGGACGUCACAGCGUCACAGCAAUGAGACGUGAGUUUCCUGACACGGUGUCUGGGCGGGGGCAGAACGAGCCAUGCUUUGGUGUCUCGUUUGUGUGUGCGUGAGUGUGUGAAUGUGGGAGUAUGUGAGUGUGUGUUCAUGUGUGUGUUCGUAAGCGUGUUCUCACCUCAACACUAACAACCCUGACUGGCAUGUGAUGGCAGCCUCAUGGGGCUCCAAGCCCAUGUGUAUGGGCUCCCUGUCUGUGCUGGAAGGUUCUACAGCAAAAAUCAGCCCCUGCUCACCAGAGGCAAACUGAGCAUGAAAGGAAAUGAAAGACGUGAACUUUAAUGCCUCUCAUGUGCCGGGAGAACGAGGUCACACAGCAAAUCACGGCUCUUGGGAAUCAGGAUGUGUUUGAAAACUUCAGGGGCUCUGAGCCCUCAUGAACCCAACCGAUGGGCAAGCAGCCCAG